rnacentral:tRNA from 1 species
GCAGGAUUAGUUCAACGGGAGAACGCUAGUUUUACACACUAGAGAAAGUGGUUCGAUUCCACUAUUCUGUACCA